rnacentral:rRNA from 1 species
AUUGAACGCUGGCGGCAUGCUUUACACAUGCAAGUCGAACGGUAACAGGCCGCAAGGUGCUGACGAGUGGCGAACGGGUGAGUAAUGCAUCGGAACGUGCCCAGUCGUUGGGGAUAACUACUCGAAAGAGUAGCUAAUACCGCAUACGAUCUAUGGAUGAAAGCGGGGGACCGUAAGGCCUCGCGCGAUUGGAGCGGCCGAUGUCAGAUUAGGUAGUUGGUGGGGUAAAGGUUCACCAAGCCAACGAUCUGUAGCUGGUCUGAGAGGACGACCCGCCACACUGGGACUGAGACACGGCCCAGACUCCUACGGGAGGCAGCAGUGGGGAAUUUUGGACAAUGGGCGCAAGCCUGAUCCAGCAAUGCCGCGUGCAGGAAGAAGGCCUUCGGGUUGUAAACUGCUUUUGUACGGAACGAAACGGCUCUGGUUAAUACCCGGGGCUAAUGACGGUACCGUAAGAAUAAGCACCGGCUAACUACGUG